rnacentral:rRNA from 1 species
GAUGAACGCUGGCGGCGUGCCUAAUACAUGCAAGUCGAGCGAACAGACGAGAGUGCUUGCCCUCACUGACGUUAGCGGCGGACGGGUGAGUAACAUGUGGUUAACCUACCUAUAAGACUGGGAUAACUUCGGGAAACCGGAGCUAAUACCGGAUAAUAUUUAGCGUCGCAUGAAGCAAUAGUGAAAGACGGUUCUGCUGUCACUUAUAGAGGGACCCGCGGUGUAUUAGCUAGUUGGUGAGGUAACGGUUCACCAAGGCAACGAUACAUAGACGACAUGAGAGGGUGAUCGACCACCUGGGGAGUGAGACGGGGCCGCGACACCUACGGGAGGAAGCAGUAGGGAAUCUUCCGCAAUGGAGGAGAGUCUGACAGAGGAAUACCGCGUCAGUGCAGAAGGUGUUAGGAUCGUAAAGCUCGGUUGUAAGGGGGGAACAAAUACGUUAGUAACUGAACGUACCUUGACGGUACCUGACGAAAAAGCCCCGGCUAACUACGUG